UAAAAAAGUAAAAGAAAGGUUUAAUGUAAAUAUUUAAAACAUAAUUUAAAAGACUUAUCGUCAGAAUGGAAGUGCUCGGAGGAGAGUUUUGCAACAUGUCCCAACAGGAACUGGCGGCUCCUGUCAAGACUGUCGAGGAAAAAUGGAAACUCUUACCUGCCUUCUUAAAGGUGAAAGGCUUAGUGAAGCAGCACAUCGACUCGUUCAACUAUUUCAUCAAUGUAGAGAUCAAGAAAAUCAUGAGUGCCAACGAGAAGAUAACAAGUGAUGCGGACCCGAUGUGGUACAUCAAGUACCUCAAUAUCUACAUUGGCAUGCCUGAUGUGGAAGAGAGCUUCAAUGUGACGCGACCAGUCUCCCCUCAUGAGUGUCGUCUCCGAGACAUGACCUACUCAGCACCCAUCACUGUGGACAUAGAGUACACACGCGGCAGUCAGAGAAUCAUCCGCAAUGCUCUGCCCAUUGGAAGGAUGCCCAUCAUGCUUCGAAGCUCCAACUGUGUCCUCACAGGAAAGACACCGUUGGAGUUCUCAAAACUGAACGAAUGCCCCCUGGAUCCGGGUGGGUAUUUCAUUGUAAAAGGUCAAGAGAAAGUCAUUCUGAUCCAGGAGCAGCUGUCCAAGAACAGAAUAAUUGUGGAGCAGGACAGGAAAGGAGCAGUGGGAGCCUCAGUUACCAGCUCCACUCACGAGAAGAAAAGCAGAACAAAUAUGAUUGUAAAACAAGGCCGAUUCUACCUGAAGCACAACACCCUGACAGAGGACGCACCCAUCGCCAUUAUAUUCAAGGGGAUGGGUGUGGAGAGUGACCAGGAGAUCGUACAGAUGAUUGGCACGGAGGAGCAUGUCAUGGCCAGUUUUGCCCCAAGUCUGGAGGAAUGUCAAAAAGCUCAAAUAUUCACGCAGACUCAGGCUCUGAGGUACCUCGGGAAUAAAGUGCGGAGGCAGCGCAUGUGGGGAGGACCCAAGAAAACCAAAAUGGAGGAGGCCAGGGAACUGCUCGCUUCACUAAUUCUCACACAUGUGCCUGUGAAAGAAUUUAACUUCAGAGCCAAGUGUAUUUACCUGGCAGUGAUGGUGCGCAGGGUGAUCCUGGCUCAAGGGGACAACAAAGUGGAUGACAGAGAUUACUAUGGCAACAAACGUCUUGAGUUGGCCGGACAGCUUCUGUCCUUGCUCUUUGAAGACUUGUUUAAAAAGUUCAACUCUGAACUGAAGAAGAUUGCCGACCAGAUCAUCCCCAAACAGAGGGCGGCACAGUUCGAUGUGGUCAAGCACAUGAGACAGGACCAGAUCACGAACGGCAUGAUCAACGCCAUUUCCACUGGCAACUGGUCCCUGAAGAGAUUCAAGAUGGACCGUCAGGGCGUGACACAGGUGUUGUCUCGUCUCUCUUACAUUUCGGCUCUGGGGAUGAUGACCCGUAUAUCCUCCCAGUUCGAGAAGACCCGGAAGGUCAGCGGGCCGCGCUCCCUGCAGCCCUCACAGUGGGGCAUGCUGUGCCCGUCCGAUACACCUGAAGGCGAGGCCUGCGGGCUGGUGAAAAACUUGGCCCUGAUGACGCACAUCACCACUGACAUGGAAGACGGUCCCAUCAUCAAGCUGGCCUUCAACCUGGGUGUGGAGGAUGUCAACUUGCUGUGCGGAGAAGAGCUUUCCUACCCCAGCGUCUUCCUCGUCUUUCUCAAUGGAAACAUUCUCGGCGUCAUUCGAGAUUAUCACAAGCUGGUCAGCACAUUCAGGCUGAUGCGCAGGGCGGGAUUCAUCAACGAGUUUGUGUCCAUCUCCACCAAUAUGGCCGACCGCUGUGUGUACAUCUCAUCGGAUGGAGGGCGCCUCUGCAGACCAUAUAUCAUCGUGAAAAAGGGCCAGCCUAUGGUGAAAAACAAACACAUUGAGGAUCUGUCGCAGGGCUACAGAUCUUUUGAGGACUUUCUGCACGAAGGUCUGGUGGAAUACCUGGAUGUCAACGAGGAGAAUGACUGUCAGAUCGCCCUUUACGAGCACAUGAUGAACAAAGACACAACCCACUUGGAGAUUGAGCCCUUCACACUUCUGGGGGUGUGUGCUGGCCUCAUUCCCUACCCCCACCACAACCAGUCGCCCAGGAACACAUAUCAGUGUGCUAUGGGCAAGCAAGCCAUGGGUACGAUUGGCUACAACCAGAGGAACCGCAUCGACACGCUGAUGUACCUUCUGGCGUACCCUCAGAGGCCCAUGGUUAAAACCAAAACCAUCGAGCUAAUCGACUUCGAGAAGCUGCCAGCUGGGCAAAAUGCCACUGUGGCCGUGAUGAGCUACAGUGGCUACGACAUUGAGGAUGCACUGGUCCUCAACAAAGCGUCACUCGACAGAGGCUUUGGUCGGUGUCUUGUGUACAAAAACGCCAAGUGUACACUACGGCGUUACACCAAUCAAACAUUUGACAAGGUCUUGGGACCCAUGCUGGAUGCUGCCACCAGAAAGCCCAUCUGGAGGCACAAUAUCCUUGACGCUGACGGGAUCUGCUCUCCCGGUGAGCGGGUGGAGAACAAGCAGGUGCUUGUCAACAAAUCCAUGCCGACUGUCACUCAGACGCCACUGGAGGGCAGCACCCAGCCAGGCCAGCCUCAGUACAGAGAAGUGCCGAUCAGCUACAAGGGCCCAACGGACUCUUAUAUUGAGAAGGUAAUGAUUUCGUCCAACGCCGAAGAUGCCUUCCUCAUCAAGAUUCUACUCAGGCAGACCAGGAGGCCCGAAAUCGGAGACAAGUUCAGCAGUAGGCAUGGACAGAAAGGGGUUUGUGGCCUCAUCGUACCCCAAGAGGACAUGCCGUUCUGUGACACAGGCAUUUGUCCUGACAUCAUCAUGAACCCUCACGGAUAUCCUUCCCGGAUGACGGUGGGGAAGCUCAUUGAACUGCUGGCUGGCAAAGCGGGAGUCCUAGAUGGACGCUUCCACUACGGGACGGCCUUCGGGGGCAGCAAGGUGAAGGAUGUGUGCGAGGACCUGAUCCGCUAUGGAUAUAAUUACCAGGGGAAAGACUAUGUCACCUCUGGCAUCACUGGUGAGCCUCUGGAGGCAUACAUCUACUUUGGACCUGUGUAUUACCAAAAGCUGAAGCACAUGGUCUUAGACAAGAUGCAUGCUCGAGCACGUGGUCCUCGAGCCGUCCUAACCAGGCAACCGACGGAGGGCCGUUCCAGAGACGGAGGUCUGCGUCUGGGCGAGAUGGAGCGCGACUGUCUGAUUGGUUACGGUGCCAGCAUGUUGCUGCUCGAGCGCCUCAUGAUCUCUAGCGAUGCCUUUGAGGUCGACGUGUGUGGACAGUGUGGCCUUCUGGGUUACUCUGGCUGGUGUCACUACUGCAAGUCGUCGUGUCACGUGUCAUCACUGCGAAUUCCCUACGCUUGCAAGCUGCUCUUCCAGGAAUUGCAGUCCAUGAACAUCAUCCCUCGACUCAAGCUGUCCCGCUACAACGAGUGACGGCACCAAAAUAUUGACAGGCACAGGACUUUGUAAGAACCCUGUCAAACUUCAAGCGGUGUACACUGGCAGAACUUUAAAAUUUUCUUUCACUUGAUGAUUGAAGCUUCGCAGGUGCCUUUCGGGGGGAAACAUGUUUAAAAAGAUAAAAACGUCCAGUGAAAAAGUCAUCCUUGCUAUACGUUGUGACGGUCAGCAUCUCC